AUUGAACGCUGGCGGCAGGCCUAACACAUGCAAGUCGAACGAGUGGCGGACGGGUGAGUAAUGUCUGGGAAACUGCCUGAUGGAGGGGGAUAACUACUGGAAACGGUAGCUAAUCCCGCAUACCAUCGGAUUUGCCCAGAUGGGAUUCGCUUGUUGUUGGGGUAAAGGCUCACCUAGGCGACGAUCCCUAGCUGGUCUGAGAGGAUGACCAGCCACACUGGAACUGAGACACGGUCCAGACUCCUACGGGAGGCAGAAGGGGGGAAUAUUGCACAAUGGGCGCAAGCCUGAUGCAGCCAUGCCGCGUGUAUGAAGAAGGCCUUCGGGGUGUAAAGUACUUUCAGCGGGGAGGCGUUACCCGCAGAAGAAGCACCGGCGAACUCCGUGCCAGCAGCCGCGGUAAUUC
rnacentral:rRNA from 1 species